GCGGGCGUGCUCUCGUGCUCCUGUUUACACAUUUUCACACGAUUUGAUUUAAACGUUUGAUGUUUCUUCCCUUGAUUGACUGAAAUGAAUGAGAAGGACAUUAAUUGUGGUGAACGGUGCAGAUCUCCAGCAGCUGGGUUUCACUCCUGUCUGUUAGGAUGUGGAUGAUGAUGAGAGCUGAAUAUCAGGCCUGACCUUCUGCCAUGAAACCUGACUAAACCAAACCUCUGUUACAGCUCCGCAUGACAGCCUACUUUCUUUAGAGCCAUUUCUUUUCUUUACUUUAUUUAAAAGCCAUGUGAUCACGAAACUUUAAUGCCACUGCUUCAGUGACCAACAAAUAAAAUUCAGCUGGUGUUGAGAGCCUGUGUGUAAAUCUGCCGUCGUGUGAACUCCUGGAGAACUCCUGGAGUCUUCUGCGAUGAAGAAACCUCAUUUUAUACGAGUCUUUAUUCACUCCAGUGAACUGAAACAUUUUACCGAUGCAGGGCCUCAAGAUCACAACCGCAGGGUUCAGUGCAUUCAGUGGAAAUGUGAAUUGAUUUAAUUUUCAUUAUCGGUUUCCAUUUUUUUGUUACAUUGAUGAACCUUGAAUGUGAUCCUGAGGCAGUGUUUAAGUCUGUCGCUACUUCGGGACGUCCGUGAUGGUGUGGAGCAGAUGUUUGUAUAGGUUCCUCUCCAUCUGCAGUGAGGCUCAGGGUCCCGCUGAGCCUCUCAGCCUGUAAUUAAUCCCAGUUCUGCAUCAGGCCCAGGGGCUGCCUCCAGGUCAGAGGUCACAGUGUGGGGGUUACUGAGAAGAAUCUCAGACACAGGAAACUGUACAUCAUCUCAGACAUGUCCAGAAGCCCCACUGGCUCUCAGCGCCCUCUGCUGGACACCACUGGGAAGUGCAGAGAGCGACGACAGGGGCCCAAGCACCCGAAAAGAGGUUUGUCGGGCAAAAAGCAUUAAAUACUUACUAAAUACUAUAAAGCCCAAGACUGAGACAUGUCCAAGUAGAAAAGCAGUAGCGUGGGUCAGGACACGUCGAUCUAGAAACGACCUACGAGCUGAUAUCGUUCAUGUGCUGGUUGGAUCUCUGUAACAGUGUGGUGCUGGUCAGACUGGAGCAGGUAGAAGAACAGUGUGGGGAUUUAAAUGAAUUUAGCCAAAACACUAACAAUGAGAA